GCUGACACAUCCCUGCCAAUCUCCGGCAGACCCUCCCUCCCAGACCCUCCCACCUCCUGGACAGCAUCCAUGUUGAAGGCAGCUUCAACAUGGAUGCUGUCCAGGAGGUGGGAGGGUCUGGGAGGGAGGGUCUGCCGGAGAUUGGCAGGGAUGUGUCAG